CAGAAAAUAGUUUAAUUAAAAUAAUAAUUUUGGAGAUUAUAGAUAGGAUAAUUAUCUUUUUUCUGA
rnacentral:tRNA from 1 species